CACGUAGGGCGCAAGCGUUGUCCGGAAUUAUUGGGCGUAAAGAGCUCGUAGGUGGUUUGCUGCGUCCGCUGUGAAAACCCAAGGCUUAACCUUGGGCUUGCAGUGGAUACGGGCAGACUAGAGGUAGGUAGGGGAGAAUGGAAUUCCCGGUGUAGCGGUGAAAUUCGUAGAUAUUGGGAAGAACACCGGUGGCGAAGGCGGCGACCUGGUCCAUUACUGACGCUGAUGCACGAAAGCUAGGGGAGCAAACAGG
rnacentral:rRNA from 1 species